AUGAUUCUGCUGCACGGCCGGGGAGAGGGCCGUCCUCUCGUCAUUGACUUGGAGGCUGCCCGCAAGGCCGUCAGCGGAUUCCUAGUGGUGGGGCGCCUUCUCUCCCCUUUCCAGGUCAAUCCGAGGGUCAUUGUCGAUGACCUCCGGAACACGGCCUGGAAGAACCAAGGGGCGUUCACCAUCCAAGAGGUGGACAGCGCGGGCGGGAGGUUUAUCCUCAAUCUCGCUGCUGACAGUGAUCAUCGAUUUGUGCUAAAGGCGCAACCUUGGCAUUUCAAGCGUGACGGUCUCAUCUUCGCCCAGUUC
rnacentral:rRNA from 1 species